UGCCUUUAUGUGUUGCCCUUUCAGUGUGUCCAUCAUGAAACGGGUGUCAGCUAAGGCAAACAGAAUGACUUGUUGUUGUCUUUUGGGGAUCGACAGUGACUCUCCUGACAGGUUCAACUACAAGGACACGC